AUAAUACUUCAUCCGUCCAAAAAACAAUGUCUCAAGUUUGUUAAAAUUUGAAUAUGUACCUAGACAUGACUUAGUGUAUAGAUGCAUUCAAAUUUAAUUAAAGUUGAGACAUCCUUUAUUGGAUGGUGGAAGUAGUAC
rnacentral:pre_miRNA from 1 species